rnacentral:rRNA from 1 species
UACGUAGGCAGCAAGCGUUGUUCGGAAUUACUGGGCGUAAAGAGUGUGUAGGCGGUGCUCCAAGUCUGGUGUGAAAUCUCCCGGCUUAACUGGGAGGGUGCGCCGAAUACUGAGAGGCUAGAGUGUGGGAGAGGAAAGUGGAAUUCCUGGUGUAGCGGUGAAAUGCGUAGAUAUCAGGAGGAACACCGGUGGUGUAAACGGCUUUCUGGACCAUAACUGACGCUGAGGCACGAAAGCGUGGGUAGCAAACAGG